GGGUGGGGCCAGCUCCGGUCCCGGACACACUGCCACCUGCAGCCACCUGCUCCCGGGAAGCAGGGAUGCCUGGGCGCAGGGGAGAGGAGAGUGGAAGAGAAGUUAGCUGCCCCCCUCCGCCUGGGAGAGCGUGACACAGCUCCGAACACGGGUAUUUGUCAUCGAGGCGACUGUCUGGAGGCUCUCUUCCCACUUUGCGCAUCGACUCGCCUUCUCAACCCAGACGCUGGCGCCCAGAAGUCUAGAAGGGUUCCAACUCACGAUCCGGAGAUAAAGAGUAGCACGCUCUUCCUACUGAGCCAGCCAGGCGCACUUGGGCUUGACAUCUUGAAGGGUGCACUAGAGACACCGCACGAAAACCGCCAGGAGCAAAGAAGGUGAAGAAGGCCAGUGCACUGGCUAGCGGAGAUUUUAAGUAAUCUCUACACUCAAUAUGGGGCUCAAACUUACAACCUUGAGAAGAAUUAUAUGUUCGACCCACUGAGACACCAGAUGCCCCUGAUGUCUUAAUUCUGGAAGACAAAAGCCGCCGUCCCAAAAAGCUGGUUUCAAGCGAACACAUCUGAUGUAAAGAAUUAUUUAAAAGAAGGCAAACAAUUGUGAAGAAGGAGGAGGAGACAAAAGCUUACCUAAGAAGGAAACUCUCAGAAUACAACACAUCAAGAGGACUGAUAACAGAUUAAAUAUGGGCAACGUGUCCUGAACGUAAGAAAGCCAUUAUUUCUACAAAGUGAGACAAAUGUUCAGAUUGCAGGGCCCCAAGGAGGGUGGGUGGGUAGGAAGUGAAAUACACAAAGCAGUGCUGGGGGGAGGGGAGGUAAUCAAAUGGCAUG